CAAACGACUCUCGGCAACGGAUAUCUCGGCUCUCGCAUCGAUGAAGAACGUAGCGAAAUGCGAUACCUGGUGUGAAUUGCAAAAUCCCGCGAACCAUCGAGUCUUUGAACGCAAGUUGCGCCCGAGGCCUUCGGGCCGAGGGCACGCCUGCCUGGGCGUCACGC
rnacentral:rRNA from 3 species